AUUGAACGCUGGCGGCAUGCUUUACACAUGCAAGUCGAGCGGUAACAGGCCGCAAGGUGCUGACGAGUGGCGAACGGGUGAGUAAUGCAUCGGAACGUGCCCAGUCGUGGGGGAUAACGCAGCGAAAGCUGCGCUAAUACCGCAUACGAUCUAUGGAUGAAAGCGGGGGACCGUAAGGCCUCGCGCGAUUGGAGCGGCCGAUGUCAGAUUAGGUAGUUGGUGGGGUAAAGGCUCACCAAGCCGACGAUCUGUAGCUGGUCUGAGAGGACGACCAGCCACACUGGGACUGAGACACGGCCCAGACUCCUACGGGAGGCAGCAGUGGGGAAUUUUGGACAAUGGGCGCAAGCCUGAUCCAGCAAUGCCGCGUGCAGGAAGAAGGCCUUCGGGUUGUAAACUGCUUUUGUACGGAACGAAAAGGCUCUGGUUAAUACCUGGGGCUCAUGACGGUACCGUAAGAAUAAGCACCGGCUAACUACGUGCCAGCCGCCGCCGUAA
rnacentral:rRNA from 1 species